rnacentral:rRNA from 1 species
AUGCUGUCGCUCCACAUGGCGUUGCUCCUCGGAGUGGUCUUCGCCUCCAUCCUUACAAGAGCGGCCUCGGUGGGCGUGUGCUACGGCAUGAGCGCCAACAACCUGCCGCCCCCGAGCACCGUCGUCGGCAUGCUCCGGGACAACGGCUUCAACUCGGUGCGCCUCUACGCGCCGGACAGAGACGCGCUGGCGGCACUCGCAGGCACCGGCAUCGGCGUCAUCGUCGGUGCGCCCAACUACGUGCUCCCCGAGCUGGCCGCCAGCGGGUCCGCGGCGGCGGCGUGGGUCCGCGCCAACAUCGCGGCCCACCCGGACGUCUCCUUCCGGUACCUCACAGUGGGCAACGAGGUCGCCGGCAGCGACACGCAGUACCUCGUCCCGGCCAUGGAGAACGUGCACGGCGCGCUGGCCGCGGCCGGGCUGGGCGACGCCGUAAAGGUCACGACGGCGAUAUCGCAGGCCACCAUCGCCGUCCACGUGCCGCCGUCGGCUGGCGAGUUCGCCGACGAGUCCAAGCCGUUCCUGCUCCCCGUGCUGCAGUUCCUGGAGCGCACCGGCGCGCCGCUCCUGGCCAACCUGUACCCGUACUUCGUGUACACGUACAAGGCCGCGGGCGACAUGGACGUCGGCUUCAUGCUGUUCACGGCGCCGGGGACGGUGGUGCAGGACGGCGAGUACGGGUACCAGAACAUGUUCGACGCGAGCGUGGACGCGGUGCACGCGGCGGUGGAGCGGCUCGGGGUGAGCGGCGUGGACGUCGUGGUGUCGGAGACCGGGUGGCCGUCGGCGGGCGGCGAGGAGGCGUCGGUGGAGAACGCGAGGACGUACAACCAAAACCUGGUGGGCCACGUGGGGAAGGGCACGCCGCGGCGGCCGUGGAAGGUGGAGACGUACGUGUUCUCCUUGUUCAACGAGAACCUCAAGGAGGCCGGCGUGGAGCAGAACUGGGGUCUCUUCUACCCGAGCACCGAUAAGGUCUACCCCAUCACCUUUGGCAAGUGA